rnacentral:lncRNA from 1 species
CGCCCAGGCGAGGGGGCGGGGAGCCGCGGCGAGUAUCCGCGCAGACUGAGGGGGAGACGGCGGGGGCGAGGCGGGCUCGCGGCGGGCGAGAGGCGGCCGCGGGCCGGGCUGAGUCAGGAAGCGGCGGCUGGACUUGCCCGGGAAGGGGAGAGCGAGAGCCCUCCGGGCCGGGCUGCGGAGCCGGAGAGCGCGGAACCGGGCACCUCCGCCACCGGCGGCGACACAGAAGCUCGGCGCCCACCCCGCGCAGCCCGAGCCCGCCCCCGCCGGGAUGUCCCGGGGACCCAGGCAUCCAGCACGGUGACCGAGCGAGCCCGAGGAUGGGACGGUGCCCGCAGCUCCGGCUUGUCAAGGUCCCGGGCGAUUCCCAAAGCGGUUCGCCUUGCGGGGUGUAGGCGCGCAGGCAGCAGCAGGAGAGAGGAGUGGGUGGGCCUCGGCGCCGCCGCCAGGAGCCGUGUGAGGCUCUCGUCUG